CCUACGGGAGGCAGCAGUGGGGAAUAUUGCACAAUGGGGGAAACCCUGAUGCAGCGACGCCGCGUGAAGGAAGAAGUAUUUCGGUAUGUAAACUUCUAUCAGCAGGGAAGAAAAUGCCGGUACCUAACUAAGAAGCCCCGGCUAACUACGUGCCAGCAGCCACGGUAAUACGUAGGGGGCAAGCGUUCUCCGGAUUUAAUGGUGGGAAAGGGAGCGUAGGCGGUUUAGCAAGUCAGAAGUGAAAGCCCGGGGCUAAACUCCGGGACUGCUUUUGAAACUGUUGAACUAGAUGGCAGGAGAGGUAAGUGGAAUUCCUAGUGUAGCGGUGAAAGGCGUAGAUAUUAGGAGGAAAACCAGUGGCGAAGGCGGCUUACUGGACUGUAAAUGACGCUGAGGCUCGAAAGCGUGGGGAGCAAACAGGAUUAGAUACCCUUGUAGUC
rnacentral:rRNA from 1 species